GGUUAAGCGACUAAGCGUACACGGUGGAUGCCCUGGCAGUCAGAGGCGAUGAAGGACGUGCUAAUCUGCGAUAAGCGUCGGUAAGGUGAUAUGAACCGUUAUAACCGGCGAUUUCCGAAUGGGGAAACCCAGUGUGUUUCGACACACUAUCAUUAACUGAAUCCAUAGGUUAAUGAGGCGAACCGGGGGAACUGAAACAUCUAAGUACCCCGAGGAAAAGAAAUCAACCGAGAUUCCCCCAGUAGCGGCGAGCGAACGGGGAGCAGCCCAGAGCCUGAAUCAGUGUGUGUGUUAGUGGAAGCGUCUGGAAAGGCGCGCGAUACAGGGUGACAGCCCCGUACACAAAAAUGCACAUGCUGUGAGCUCGAUGAGUAGGGCGGGACACGUGGUAUCCUGUCUGAAUAUGGGGGGACCAUCCUCCAAGGCUAAAUACUCCUGACUGACCGAUAGUGAACCAGUACCGUGAGGGAAAGGCGAAAAGAACCCCGGCGAGGGGAGUGAAAAAGAACCUGAAACCGUGUACGUACAAGCAGUGGGAGCACAGAGCAAUCUGUGUGACUGCGUACCUUUUGUAUAAUGGGUCAGCGACUUAUAUUCUGUAGCAAGGUUAACCGAAUAGGGGAGCCGAAGGGAAACCGAGUCUUAACUGGGCGUUAAGUUGCAGGGUAUAGACCCGAAACCCGGUGAUCUAGCCAUGGGCAGGUUGAAGGUUGGGUAACACUAACUGGAGGACCGAACCGACUAAUGUUGAAAAAUUAGCGGAUGACUUGUGGCUGGGGGUGAAAGGCCAAUCAAACCGGGAGAUAGCUGGUUCUCCCCGAAAGCUAUUUAGGUAGCGCCUCGUGAAUUCAUCUCCGGGGGUAGAGCACUGUUUCGGCAAGGGGGUCAUCCCGACUUACCAACCCGAUGCAAACUGCGAAUACCGGAGAAUGUUAUCACGGGAGACACACGGCGGGUGCUAACGUCCGUCGUGAAGAGGGAAACAACCCAGACCGCCAGCUAAGGUCCCAAAGUCAUGGUUAAGUGGGAAACGAUGUGGGAAGGCCCAGACAGCCAGGAUGUUGGCUUAGAAGCAGCCAUCAUUUAAAGAAAGCGUAAUAGCUCACUGGUCGAGUCGGCCUGCGCGGAAGAUGUAACGGGGCUAAACCAUGCACCGAAGCUGCGGCAGCGACGCUUAUGCGUUGUUGGGUAGGGGAGCGUUCUGUAAGCCUGUGAAGGUGUACUGUGAGGUAUGCUGGAGGUAUCAGAAGUGCGAAUGCUGACAUAAGUAACGAUAAAGCGGGUGAAAAGCCCGCUCGCCGGAAGACCAAGGGUUCCUGUCCAACGUUAAUCGGGGCAGGGUGAGUCGACCCCUAAGGCGAGGCCGAAAGGCGUAGUCGAUGGGAAACAGGUUAAUAUUCCUGUACUUGGUGUUACUGCGAAGGGGGGACGGAGAAGGCUAUGUUGGCCGGGCGACGGUUGUCCCGGUUUAAGCGUGUAGGCUGGUUUUCCAGGCAAAUCCGGAAAAUCAAGGCUGAGGCGUGAUGACGAGGCACUACGGUGCUGAAGCAACAAAUGCCCUGCUUCCAGGAAAAGCCUCUAAGCAUCAGGUAACAUCAAAUCGUACCCCAAACCGACACAGGUGGUCAGGUAGAGAAUACCAAGGCGCUUGAGAGAACUCGGGUGAAGGAACUAGGCAAAAUGGUGCCGUAACUUCGGGAGAAGGCACGCUGAUAUGUAGGUGAAGUCCCUCGCGGAUGGAGCUGAAAUCAGUCGAAGAUACCAGCUGGCUGCAACUGUUUAUUAAAAACACAGCACUGUGCAAACACGAAAGUGGACGUAUACGGUGUGACGCCUGCCCGGUGCCGGAAGGUUAAUUGAUGGGGUUAGCGCAAGCGAAGCUCUUGAUCGAAGCCCCGGUAAACGGCGGCCGUAACUAUAACGGUCCUAAGGUAGCGAAAUUCCUUGUCGGGUAAGUUCCGACCUGCACGAAUGGCGUAAUGAUGGCCAGGCUGUCUCCACCCGAGACUCAGUGAAAUUGAACUCGCUGUGAAGAUGCAGUGUACCCGCGGCAAGACGGAAAGACCCCGUGAACCUUUACUAUAGCUUGACACUGAACAUUGAGCCUUGAUGUGUAGGAUAGGUGGGAGGCUUUGAAGUGUGGACGCCAGUCUGCAUGGAGCCGACCUUGAAAUACCACCCUUUAAUGUUUGAUGUUCUAACGUUGACCCGUAAUCCGGGUUGCGGACAGUGUCUGGUGGGUAGUUUGACUGGGGCGGUCUCCUCCUAAAGAGUAACGGAGGAGCACGAAGGUUGGCUAAUCCUGGUCGGACAUCAGGAGGUUAGUGCAAUGGCAUAAGCCAGCUUGACUGCGAGCGUGACGGCGCGAGCAGGUGCGAAAGCAGGUCAUAGUGAUCCGGUGGUUCUGAAUGGAAGGGCCAUCGCUCAACGGAUAAAAGGUACUCCGGGGAUAACAGGCUGAUACCGCCCAAGAGUUCAUAUCGACGGCGGUGUUUGGCACCUCGAUGUCGGCUCAUCACAUCCUGGGGCUGAAGUAGGUCCCAAGGGUAUGGCUGUUCGCCAUUUAAAGUGGUACGCGAGCUGGGUUUAGAACGUCGUGAGACAGUUCGGUCCCUAUCUGCCGUGGGCGCUGGAGAAUUGAGGGGGGCUGCUCCUAGUACGAGAGGACCGGAGUGGACGCAUCACUGGUGUUCGGGUUGUCAUGCCAAUGGCACUGCCCGGUAGCUAAAUGCGGAAGAGAUAAGUGCUGAAAGCAUCUAAGCACGAAACUUGCCCCGAGAUGAGUUCUCCCUGACCCUUUAAGGGUCCUGAAGGAACGUUGAAGACGACGACGUUGAUAGGCCGGGUGUGUAAGCGCAGCGAUGCGUUGAGCUAACCGGUACUAAUGAACCGUGAGGCUUAACCUU
rnacentral:rRNA from 1 species